rnacentral:rRNA from 1 species
GUGAGGAAUAUUGGACAAUGGAUGGAAAUCUGAUCCAGCCAUGCCGCGUGCAGGAAGACGGCCCUAUGGGUUGUAAACUGCUUUUGUAUGGGAGCAAUAAGGGCUACGUGUAGUCCGAUGAGAGUACCAUACGAAUAAGGACCGGCUAACUCCGUGCCAGCAGCCGCGGUAAUACGGAGGGUCCGAGCGUUAUCCGGAUUUAUUGGGUUUAAAGGGUGCGUAGGCGGUUUUAUAAGUCAGCGGUGAAAUUUUCCGGCUCAACCGGGAUACUGCCGUUGAUACGGUAAGGCUAGGAUAUGGUUGCUGUGGGUGGAAUGUGUGGUGUAGCGGUGAAAUGCUUAGAGAUCACACAGAAUAUCGAUUGCGAAGGCAGCUCACAAAGCCAUUAUUGACGCUGAGGCACGAAAGUGUGGGGAUCAAACAGGAUUAGAUACCCUUGUAGUCC